UAAAAGCUAUUACUACUGAUAAUAAGUAACUUUAGUUAAUAAUAGUAAGAAAUUGAUAAAUAUGCUUGAUUCUGUUCUAAGGAAGAUAUAUGUGCAUUUUUAAAAAAUGGAGCCCCAAAAUGUUUUGAAUGAAAUUAGUUUGGCAUAUUUGGUUAAUAUGUUCGCUUCUCCUUGGAGCUAAGACAGAGCCAGGGAAGGACUGGGUCACUGUGCUUUUGCUUAAUGGGAAGAAAACAGGACUUAAAGCCACUCAAAAAAGUAACUGGUAUAGAAAUCUGGAACAGUGUAUUAUUAGGAAUCUUGGUGUGAGGUACUCAAAAGGCCUUCUAAUAUUUUUUAAAAACUGCUUAGUUUCUUGUGUCCAAGAAUUGUGUAACAUAUAACAUGUAUAACAGAAUUGCAAAAAUAAUGUGUCAUGUACAAAUUCAUGGAACCUUUGCCUUUAAGUUCUUAAUAAUCCUUUUUAAAAUGUUGAUUUCCAGUUCCUGUAGGUUCUUCUGUCUUUUUAUUCUGUUCAUACAGAUGUGCCUCACUUUAUAAAAUUGGUGUAUUCUUAAAACAUCUGCGAAACAUAUUUCUGUGGAUUAAAUUCUGUUUUCCAUUGCAUGCUCUUCGGAUUUCAGAAAAUUUCUUCCGGGGGUUUGCUGUUAGGCUCAUUGUUUUGGACAGACUGGCUGAGCAGCUGAUGGAGCCCGCAGCUCUGAGGCCCACAGCCGGCAGCCCGGGCCAGCCGCCCCCGAACUCGGUUCUCUCCGCGGAGAUUUUCUCCUCGUUACAGAGACACACGGACGCCCACACAGAGUAGACCUAAGCUGUGAAAAACCAUAUCCAUAAAUAGCUGUGUUUCUGUCCUAAUAGCGUUUAUUUGGUUCAUAUUUACAGACAUCUCAAAUCAGUUUUUCUAGGCCCCUGGAUUGACCUUGCAUAAUUUUUCUUUCUGUUGGCUUUUAUUGUAGACCUUUAUGUCCUGCAUAAAGAUUUCAUCUUGAAGAGUUUCUUGUGUAACAAUUUUGAUGUUUAUGUGACAUUUCUGACAUUUGUUCUGUCAUUACAGAGCAGGAAACAUGCAAUGAUUAGAUUUAGUUACUUCGAAUGGAUGAAAGAACAAAUGAAUAAAAGCUCCUUUUUUCUUGUU